UGGAACUUGAAGUUCUUCCAAGAUCUUGUGGUAUGUCCUCAUAUGUCGAGGACAAGACUUUUCUAUUCUAAUUUUAUGAUAAGGUUCUUGUAAUAGACUUAAUAGACUUCUUUUGAUUGUAAAGGGCCGUGUCCCUACUUAUGUUUUGUGAUUGUGUCUAAGAUGGCCAUGUGAGACUUAGACUUCCGCUGUGUGUUUUUAAAGUUGUUUUAAUGAAGCUUGAAUGUUUGGAUGUAAAUAAGUUUUUAAUUCCGCACUAUUAUCAUUAUUGAAUGCAAUGAA
rnacentral:lncRNA from 1 species